rnacentral:rRNA from 1 species
AUUGAACGCUGGCGGCAUGCCUUACACAUGCAGAUCGAACGGUAACGGGCCUUCGGGUGCCGACGAGUGGCGAACGGGUGAGUAAUACAUCGGAACGUGCCCGAUCGUGGGGGAUAACGAGGCGAAAGCUUUGCUAAUACCGCAUACGAUCUACGGAUGAAAGCAGGGGACCGCAAGGCCUUGCGCGGACGGAGCGGCCGAUGGCAGAUUAGGUAGUUGGUGGGAUAAAAGCUUACCAAGCCGACGAUCUGUGGCUGGUCUGAGAGGAUGAUCAGCCACACUGGGACUGAGACACGGCCCAGACUCCUACGGGAGGCAGCAGUGGGGAAUUUUGGACAAUGGGCGCAAGCCUGAUCCAGCCAUGCCGCGUGCAGGAUGAAGGCCUUCGGGUUGUAAACUGAUUUUGUACGGAACGAAAAGCCUUCUUUUAAUACAGGAGGGUCAUGACGGUACCGUAAGAAUAAGCACCGGCUAACUACGUG